CAUACACAAACAAACACACACAGACUUUGGGUCCUUUAAAUGAUCUGUACUGAUGGUCUAAGACAUGAAACAGGUGAUGGAGGAGGUAGUGGUGGGUGUGUCCUCACAUCUCACAGUCUUCUCUCCCAUCAGAAAAUCCAUCAGAAAAUAUCCUGAUUACAAACUAAGGAGUGGGAGUGUUGAUCCGUGUGCCUUGGUGUCUGAGUAAAAUGCAUUAUGUGCAUCUUAAUAUCUGAAUAAUUCUUUUAACAUCAGGAGAUAUACUGUGUCAGGUUUUUGUGGGACAUUGGUUCAGUCACUUUCUGGCCGCACCUCAUUUUAAGACCAAUAAGCCCCUGGGUGCACUGAGUACCUCAAGUACAUUUGCUUCUGGUGCUAAGCGUGAAAAUGAUGACUUCAUCGGUCAGAAACUAGCAAUGACUGUUUUUAAAAUCUGCCAUUUAUAUUAACCCUGAACUCCUUCCAACAAGUCAGGUUGUAUACAUGCUGACUCUGCUGAACACAUUUCUUAACCUACAGUUAUAUUUGGGGCGUCCAAAAUAUGUGUGAGAGGCAUGUCUCUCAGUGAAACUGGAAUUUCUACUCAGGGAUUAAAAAAAAUUCUUCGUUUAACUCCAGACCAAGUAGGUUAAAAAUGUUGGGCCCCUAUGGACAUGUUCUUGUGGCAGUGGCCAACAAAGGACCCUGUGAUUCUGAUCUUAGCAAACCACUUCAUUGUCUUUUGUCUGUUCUCUACCUGACAUGUUUUAAUCAUGCAAACUUUACCUCUACAAUCUCUAGAAAAACACUGACCAUGACAGAGGAAAUCAACCCAGAGUGUUGUCUGAUUGUAA